AUCCUUGGGAACUUCAAAUUCGAUUCUUCUUUAAUGCAUAGAAGGGGUCAGAGCUAUGCUAUGAUGUGUGCGUGGGGCUAUUCUUCCUCAGCAGCCUCUAUAGUCCCAUCACUGAGACAUGG